GGUGGACCCAAUAUUCCUCACGGC
rnacentral:piRNA from 1 species